UACGAAGGGGGCUAGCGUUGCUCGGAAUCACUGGGCGUAAAGCGCACGUAGGCGGAUCCUUAAGUCGGGGGUGAAAUCCUGGAGCUCAACUCCAGAACUGCCUUCGAUACUGAGGAUCUCGAGUCCGGGAGAGGUGAGUGGAACUGCGAGUGUAGAGGUGAAAUUCGUAGAUAUUCGCAAGAACACCAGUGGCGAAGGCGGCUCACUGGCCCGGUAACUGACGCUGAGGUGCGAAAGCGUGGGGAGCAAACAGG
rnacentral:rRNA from 1 species